rnacentral:rRNA from 1 species
AUUGAACGCUGGCGGCAUGCUUUACACAUGCAAGUCGAACGGCAGCGGGGGCUUCGGCCUGCCGGCGAGUGGCGAACGGGUGAGUAAUGCAUCGGAACGUGCCCAUGUCGUGGGGGAUAACUACGCGAAAGCGUGGCUAAUACCGCAUACGCCCUGAGGGGGAAAGCGGGGGAUUUUUCGGGACCUCGCGCGAUUGGAGCGGCCGAUGUCGGAUUAGCUAGUUGGUGGGGUAAAGGCUCACCAAGGCGACGAUCCGUAGCUGGUCUGAGAGGAUGGUCAGCCACAAUGGGACUGAGACACGGCCCAGACUCCUACGGGAGGCAGCAGUGGGGAAUUUUGGACAAUGGGCGCAAGCCUGAUCCAGCCAGGCCGCGUGAGUGAAGAAGGCCUUCGGGUUGUAAAGCUCUUUCGGCCGGGAAGAAAUCGCAUUCUCUAAUAUAGGAUGUGGAUGACGGUACCGGACUAAGAAGCACCGGCUAACUACGUGCCAGCCGCCGCAGUAAAAC